CGAGGUCAGUGAUGAAUUAAAAUUGCCUACAUUGGCUGAUGAUCUUGUUUUAGAUAAUGAUGUCUCCUAUAGUCUGAGACCUCU